AAAACCAAGGUAUGCAUUUCCACUUUGUUUGUUUGUUUGUUUAUUUAUACCCAUUUCAGUAUUUAGCUGAAGAGCAGACCUUGAGAAUUUUGGGAGAAGGGAAUAGCACCAUACUAAUCCAGUCGUGGGACUUGAGUGUUGCUCUUAGCCUUUUGGGAAUAGCAGGUGAAUUGAAAUUUCAUUGGACACAUCCCUACAUCAGUAGGGAAGGCAAAACAAACUUCUGACAGUAGUUUGCAAGCAUUUGUCUACAUCUCGUCUGUAACUAGAGUAUUACAGUUAUGAGUAUUAGAUUCAGGUGAAACAUUACCUGAGAUCACUCUCUGCCUCUUUAGCACUCAUAGGUGCUGAAAUCUGAAUUUUUCUCUUCUUAGUUUUGCCAGAAUCCGAGGGUGAGUUUUCAGGAAAACUGCAUUGCCUUACCUGGUUGUAUUUCCUCAUGUUUUCCUUAGAGCCAUAGUCAUAAGCUUGAAAUUGGUCUGCAUGUGUUACCUGUUGAUAUUGUAACAAGGACAGAUAAAAUGAAAGUGUUAAAGAGACAGUGUGCAGGAGAUGUUUUCUUGCUUGUGAGUGAAACCAAGGCUCAGGCAGUGGUCAGACUUCCAGAGACACUGAGGAUGGAUCAUAGGGUGAGCAGGUUCAUCGCCUUUCCCAUUGCUAACAAUCCCUCCUGUUCCUCAGCCCUCAUCCUUGGUAUGUUCUGUUAUUAAUAUUUCACUUGACUGCUGUAGUUAGCUAAAGUUGGGGUCCCUGUUUGUGAUACAGAGGUAUGUCAGGGCUAUUACUAGUCUAGUCUAUAUGGUACCUCCUCACACAUCUUGCCUUUUGUGUGUCAUUUUUGUCUGGUCUGCUCACAGUAGUAGCAAAAUUUCCAGAGGCUCUGUGUUUGACUAUUGGGAACAGGGUGCGCUUAGUUUAAGACUAAAUUGUUGUUUUCUUGAAUGUGCCUUGUCUAAAAGGAAAAACAAACAAACAAAACCCAACAACAACAACAUAAUAAAAGAUAAAUCUGUCUUACUGAAAAAAGUAUGUAUUUGUUUUUUCCAAACCUUUAGGUAACUGAGGAUAUGCUAGAAAUCUGCUAGUUGGUCUCUGUUUUCUGGCUCUGGGUUCCGGUGAUCUGGAUCCUGGGAAUUUUAGUCAGGGGUGUGUGCAGGAGUAUGCAUAAAUUUAAGUGUUGGCAGAUGUGGUAUAAACAGUGAUGUGUUUCUGAGCUGUUUCUUUCUUGCCGUGGUCUGAUUUGGAGCACAGGCAGAACAAGCUUAGGUCUGAGAAUGGCAUAAGAUGCCAGAAGAAGAGGCAGUUCCCCACAUUGCUGUUGUGCCAGCAGAAGUGCUUGUGUGGUUAACUGGCCCUGGGAGGUGAUCCAGGCUGCAAUUAGCCCUCUUGGAGAAAAGCUUUAACCUGCAUUAUUUCUUCAUCUGGCUUAUCCCCUGCCUGCUCAAGUUUCCACUAUCCUCCUACUGCCUGCUAAUUGCCUGGACCAUGCUCACGUUCCCUUCUGCAGCUCUCAAGGCAAAGAUGUACAUAAGUAAAGCUGAAGCCUGGAAGCCGUUGGAGCCCAACAUGCAGAGCUGCCUGACGUGCCCAGGGGAAAUCUCAGUGCCUGAUGCCAAAGGGACAAUUCAGCCCAUUUGUCAGGCAGCUUACAAUAACGAUUUCAAUGAAGUUCGUCUCCUUUUGGAGCGCAACAGUAAAUAUCUGAACAUCCAGGAUAGCCGUGGUGGAGACACACCCUUAAUUUGUGCGUGUAAAAAGGGAAACAACCAGAUUGUUAGCUAUCUUCUAAAAAGAAAUGCCAACGUCAACCUCAGAAACAAGAAGGACCGGACUUGUCUGCAUUAUGCGGUGAGAAAACAGUUUAGCUUCCUUGACUAUGUGCUCAUCAUAAUCCUCAUGCCAGUUAUGCUUAUUGGAUAUCUUCUCAUGGGACUGAUGAAGAGCAUCAGAAGGAGCAGAGAUUUUUGCUGUGCCUAUAUAGGUGGUGAAGGAACAGAAUUGUACCAGUGCAUCGGUCUGGCAUUUGCAGAAGCCAGACACUCCUCUGUUUGGAAAAACUGCAGCGUUUAGCCAAAACUACUUAGUACUAUACACAGAUAAAUUGUCUUACUGUGUUACUCUUUCCCUUGCAUGAAACAGGUCUCAAAGACUAAACAGAAUGAAAACCUGAUCAAGAUGUUGCUUAGAGCUGGAGCUGAUGUUAAUGCUACAGACUCUUCUGGUUGCACAGCCCUUCACUAUGCUUGUGAAAUGAGAAAUCAGGAAGUCAUUCCCCUGCUGCUUGAAGCUCAUGCUGACACUUCGGUAAAGAAUCAGGAUGGGGAGACUCCUUUAGAUAUAGCCAGAAGAUUGCAGUUCCACAACAUUGAAAGCAUGCUAAGGAGAAAUUUGUAGUCAUUAAGGACUCUUGAACAUGUGGAAAAGUACCUCAUCUGGCAAUUCAUCUUGCACAGGAGCAGGAGUCCUGCAGAGGGUUGAGGGCUGUUACUUCAUAAAGACUUGGUUCAGAUCUGCCCAUUCCUUGCUGCAGACAUCGACUGUUUUGUGUGAGACUUGCCAGUACUCCCAAGGCCACUUGGGCUGAAAGGAAUUAAUUUGAUGUUACUAAGCCAUGAAUGAUUACAACAGUGUUAAAAAUAUUGCCUUUUCUAUUUGCAUCCCCACUUUUAUUACUUGCCUUGUGCAGUGUGUGGAUUUUGAUAGCUUGCUAUAGUAUUUGCAGCCAAUGCAAAAAUAAAACAUCCUUUAGAUUGUGUGUUACUUUUUCCAAAGGGAUACGCUUGACAGCUGCACAGUAUGCCACAGCAGUUUAUACAAAGUCUGAUAACCUUCUUCAUAGUAUUUCUUUUCUUAUGAUGGCAGUGACUGGGAAAAUAGAUGUUUCAGCUUAGCACUUCCUCCUUCCAUACUUGCUACAAGUUUCACACACUUCAAUUUUCACUAUGUUGCUACAAGGGAAGAAUUAUCUUCUCUUUUCCUUUUUUGUCAUGUAAGAAACAGCAAAAGAGAUUCAAUGAGUUGCUGGAGACCACAAAGGCAUGAAGAAAGCCAAAUCCCAUGUGACUUUAAUGCAUUAAGGAAUAACAAUGAAAAUAUGUUUGGCACAGUAGAGAAACAUUUUUUUUUUACUACCUUUCCAAUAUAAACAGUGUCCUAAAGGAAAGAAAAAUCAAUAAAUGUAAUGCUGUGGAUGAGAACCAGAUGUAUCCUUCCCAUGGGACUGGACAGCAUAGCAAGCUUUUCACAGUGGUGUAUGCAACAAGGGAUGUAUAGACCAAAACAACAGUAAAUUCAUGAGUCUUCUCUUGUAUAGGUGAAGGCAGAAAAAAACCUGCAGUGGUAAGCAAUGUAUUAAAGUGGCCUGAUGCUUUGUGAUUUAAUAGUUCAGCAAUAAAGGGGAAUCUCCUUUCAAA